GCCCCGGUAGCUCAGCUCGGUCGGAGCGCCCAGGGGCUAAGCGGGAGGUCCCGGGUUCAGGGGAACCCGCCCAAGAAUCCCGGCCGGGGCUCCA
rnacentral:tRNA from 1 species